rnacentral:hammerhead_ribozyme from 1 species
AUCCAGCUGACGAGUCCCUAUUAGGACGGAACGUAUGUCAUGGAU